CUCGAUAAGGGCAAACCGCCGGCGACGGCGGGGCGCAAAGCCAAGGGGUCUCAGCGAUGAGAUUGCCCGGCUGCCAGAG
rnacentral:ncRNA from 1 species